GGUGAGGGGAAGCCCCAGCAAGACAGGACACCCGACAUUCACCCUGCUCAUAUUAGUAGCACAUCCAUCACUGUGUUGGUUAAGGCAAGAAACACAUUUAUUGAGAGCACAAUCGGGUGUGCCAGGCCCCAGGUUGGGCCCUUCUGAACCACAUCACAUGCUCCUCACAACAACCCUGUGAGGUAGGUGUCCGAGGAGACUUCACAGAUGCGGACAACGAAGGCUCGGUGGCUCCCCCAAGUCUCAGGGCUCGUGAGGGGCAGGCAGGGGUCAAACUCGUGUGUCUGACCCUCAGAUCAGUGAAGUCAUCAGUCAGAAGACGGGUGGCAAGGCAGCAGGCAGGCCAGGUAACCACAGACGUGGGCUCAGCAAGGAAAAGCAACCCGUUAGGCAGAGGGCGAGACAGCGGAGCCCAGGGCAUGAGCCAGGUGACUCGGCACAGAGGAGGGGGAAGUGGGCCAGGCUGAGCAACAGACUAUGGCAAGCAGCCUCAGGUGGGCAGUCCACCUGACCGGUGGAGAGCCAGGGGAGGGGCCGCCAGGCAGAGCAGAACAGAGCAGGUGGGCAGCCGGCAGAAGCGGAGCCUGCAGAGCUCCCCCGAGGGUCCUAGCCAUCUGUCCUUUGCAUGAGACAGGCCCCAGCCAAUGCCUGGGGGGCAAAGGAGCUGGUUUUAGCCCCAGUGAAGGAAGGCAUCUUGGAGGGAGGGGUCCAAAUCACACACCUCAACUCAAGAGGGAGACCUUUGUGGCCAGAGCCCGAAAGGACACACACCACACUGUCCUAUAUUCCCACCUUGGUCCUGAGUUCAGGGCCAGGGGUCCAGGACAGUCAUCAGCACUCAGCGACAGGAUGGAGUGCGGGAGGCAGAGAGAGCAGGCGGGGCUGGCUCGGACCAGCGGCAAGCACAGGCAGUCUGAGGUUCCUCUGGGGUUUGAAUUAAAGGUUCCAAAGGAAGUCCAGCCAGGCCCGCCCCUCGCACCGUCCUGCAUGCCUACUACAGAGCGGGGAAUCCACCGCUCCAGCGCCUGGGACAGCCGUGAGGCCGCCUGUGGCAGAAGCAACCCCCCGGCCUGCCCUCCCAGGGGUGCAGGCCAGCCCCGGGCCGGGACAGGGAGUUGUGAGGUUCAAAUGAAUUGUCGGUUGCCAGAAAGGGCUCUGCAUACUACACAGGAGACAGAAACGGGCACCGUAAUUACUCACUGGUAGCGGGACGCUCAAUUUUACAGCCCACUCCAAUCUCACCGGGGCCUGGACUUUCACUGACCAUAAAUUAUGCGUCCUUACAUUAAGGAUGUAAAAACCAGUGGUAAAAGCUCCUGCCAGCCUCUGGAAGACAAAAGGUGGCCUCCUAAUAGCCUGGAUUAACUCAAAGCAGAUCUCCGCCCACUUCAUUUGUCACCUUCCAAGUCAUCCUUCCACCUUCAUUUGCCACAUAAUCCAAUCAGGCCCUUUCAGAUGCCUGGGAGCUAUUGUCCACACCAAGCUGGGCUUCUGCAAGGCGGCCUGAGUUGUUUUUGUCUUGUCCGGACAAAACUGGUUGGCUUAAAAGGGGACGAAAGAAAGUGCUGGUCAAAUGAGGACCCCAAUUAGCUUCCAAGAGACUGUUUUCAUCAUCUUUGUAUCACAUCCCAGGCCUGGUGUGCUGGGCAUAUUGUCAGGGUUCCAGAAAAUGUUUGUUGAAUUAAUUCCGUUUUUAUUUCUUCUGGAAUUUACUUAUGGAGUGCAAACACACACAGCACCUACUGGGUGCUGGCUGUUACUACUGCGGGAGAAGAGGGCUGGGCAUGUGAAGGACGGAGGACAGCCUCCGGGGGAUAAGUAUCUCGCAAUUUCCACAGCAAUUUACAAAGCACUUUCAUAGCAGUUACAUCAUUUGGUCUUCAAAAGCGCCCUGUGGGGUAGAUAAACGCGGAGGUUUUUUUUUUUUUUUUUUUUUAAUCCCCAUUUAGACCAUGAAAGGAACUGAGACUCGGAGAAGUUAAGCGACUUGUUUAAGGUCACACUGUUACUGGGAGGUGGAGCCAGCACAGGGUACCAGCUCUGGGGCCACCCAGACCCCAAGACCACCCUGGGCAGCUGGGAUUUCAAAGAGACUGUCCCUUUGUCAAAUGUCUGACUGGACGUCAAAGGGCUUUUAAUAUAACUCUGGGCUAGGGGGUACAGGGCGGCUACAAUGGCACCCAGGAUCCAACUAUGACCUCUUCUCUUGCCAGCAGUGUGACAAAAUACUUACAUCCCUCCAGCCUCGGCGUCCAUCCUCACUGCCAACGUGGGUGACCCCUAUCCCGUGGGAGGGGCACUCAGCUUUCAUGAGUCCUCUUCCCCACCCACCUUUUGAAAAUUACUCAAAUCAAUGACAAAUUCAUUCUCAUCUGUAAAUGAGGCCGCCUCAUACACAUACUCCUAUGACAUAGAAAGAACAUUCAUCUACAUAGAAAGUGCUCUGGAAAUGACCGCAUGCAUAAUUCGUAUUCCUUCAGGUCAGCCCAGGACCCUCUGGUGGAGCCCCUACCUGAUGCAAGGAGAGCCUGGGGGACAGGGGCUGUCCGGAGUGCUGUGGGAGAACAAGUACGACAAGUGAGAGAGGUAGGAAUGGAUUGACCUGCCAAAUUUUUUCAACAAACAUUUGCUGACCGCAUCCUCUAUGCCCAGCCCUGCCCAAGGCUGCCUUCUCUCAUUUAAUACUCACAACAACCCUAGGAGGUUGCACUUCUCAUCCCCAUUGCCCAGAAAGGACGGGGGAUCUCGAAAGAGGGGAGCAUGCCUUUGGCAGUUCAGUAGCAUGACAUGAGGGCUCAUGCUCAUUCCACAAGCCCACCCUGGGCCUUGGAAUCGCCAGUGAGAUGCUAGAGGAGCCUCUGGCCUAGGUCCCCCUCCUGAGGAGUUCCCAAAGGGAUCUUUCCGUUCAGGACAUCAUAAGGGCAACAGCAGGGUCAGUGGAGAAAGACUGACGCCACCCUGAGGGAAGCGCUCCAGGUCGCCGGCACAUUAACACAGCAGAGACUUAUGGGAAAGUAUUCACAGAGACCAAGCACAAGCGUAGCAAAGAUCAGGGGUUAGCAGCCAGUGCCCCCUCACUAGGGCACUGGUUCAAGCCUUUAGCCAAGAGGGACAGCUGGCUUGUCAGUCCUGGUCCUCUUCAUCCCUCGUCGUCCUGGUCCUGGGGGUCUCUGCCAGCGGCUGCUUUGUAUGCUGGGGGGAUCCAGGAAUCGGUGCUCCUAGUGUCCUC
ensembl:lncRNA